CAUACUAAGCCUGCUAAUCAAUUUUCCCAAGCUACUCUCUGAUUUUUUCAGCCUGCUUUUGCAAGAGCUUUGUCAUGGCGUUCCAUAGUACCACUCAUCUGGAAUAUUUCCAAAUUUAGCAGGUUGGUGAUAUAUCUCUGCUCAAGUGGAGGUAUCUGUUUCUGAUUUAUUAACAUUUGAUCCCCUGGUUUCCUGCCAUUGAUCAAGACUAAUACUCAGCUCAGCUGAUGAGUUUUAUAUGAAAUCUGAUAUUACAGGAAGAAAGAAAAGAACAAAACAUUUGACUCUUGGGAAAAGCAAAAGCGGUGCCCUCUGAUGCCUUCAUGUAUUAUAAGACUUGGACCUGACUACCAAUGAUUAUACACAGAUAAAUACUUCUACCAAUGCUCCAAUUGUACUGCUGGUCUUCCCAGUCACGUUCAACACUAAGGAAAGCCUGAACACUGAAAUACUUUCUCUCUGCUGGGUGUUGGAAAAACUAGAAUAGAGCAGCAAGAGUGCAGCAGCAUCCUGCCACCAGCCACGGGGUUUUGUCUUUAAAACAGGACUGGACUGAGCAGUACCAUGGGCAAGAGGUAACUGGUAGCUUCUUGGGACUCAUCUGAUGAGAGGAUGGCUUUUUAAAAUAUUUUUAUGAUGGAGGUAUUGUUUACAAAAUAUAGUGUUGAGAAAUCAAUGGCUUUGUUUGCACUUUUAUUUCCAAAAUAAUUCAUUUUUAUUUACUU